UACGGAGGGUGCAAGCGUUGCUCGGAAUUAUUGGGCGUAAAGGGUAGGUAGGUGGUCUCAUUUGUCUGAGGUGAAAGCCUUGAGCUUAACUCAAGAAGUGCCUCGGAAACGGUGAGACUGGAGUCCUGGAGAGGGUCGUGGAAUUCCCGGUGUAGCGGUGAAAUGCGUAGAGAUCGGGAGGAACACCAGAGGCGAAGGCGGCGACCUGGACAGGCACUGACACUCAACUACGAAAGCGUGGGGAGCAAACAGG
rnacentral:rRNA from 1 species